rnacentral:misc_RNA from 1 species
CCGAGUUUUGGGACCCUUUGGGUACCAGCUCCCACCAUCUGUGAACCUUUUUCGUUGCCUCGGCGUACCUGAUGGUACCCAUCCUUCGGCUUCUAGCUGGGGAGUGUACGCCGAUGGAUUUUCAAACCCGAUUUUAACUUUGAAAUCUGAGUAAAACAAAAUAAAAACA